rnacentral:rRNA from 1 species
UACGAAGGGGGCUAGCGUUGCUCGGAAUCACUGGGCGUAAAGGGCGCGUAGGCGGAUCUUUAAGUCAGGGGUGAAAGCCCAAGGCUCAACCUUGGAAUUGCCUUUGAUACUGAGGAUCUCGAGACCGGAAGAGGUAAGUGGAACUGCGAGUGUAGAGGUGAAAUUCGUAGAUAUUCGCAAGAACACCAGUGGCGAAGGCGGCUUACUGGUCCGGUUCUGACGCUGAGGCGCGAAAGCGUGGGGAGCAAACAGGAUUAGAAACCCCUGUAGUCC